CUGAGGCGGAGAUGAACGGUGCCUUCUGACGUCAUCGGAACAUUGCCACCGGUUGAAACACCAGCGUUUGUUUACGUUAGGCGGCGCCUCACUUGCCUCACCCCCAAAACCGCCACUGUUAAAAAACGAAUUUAAGAAAAUCAUUACUUUACGCAACUAAUUUAAAUUUUAUUAUAUUUGAGUGGGCAAGGUAUGGAUUUUAGAGGUCACAUCGAAAAAGAAAAUUUCUUGAAUCAAGGUAACUUUAAAGAAGUAUGCAAAUUACUUGAACAUUUUUGUAGUACAAACUAUUCUAAAUGGUUUAUACAAAAUCAACUCUUAAGUAUUUGUGUUGAUUAUGUCAGACACAACAUUAUUUUGGAUGUACAAACAAAUGGUUUUUUUGCAUUAAUGUGUGAUGAAGCUAGGAGUUUUAAAGGCUAUCAGAUGUCUAUAUGUCUAUUUACACUGUAGGACUAGAAAUUCGUGAACGGUUCUUGGGAUUUUUGGAGGUAUCUAAAAAGCAUGAUGCUGAUUAUCUGAUUACUGAAAUUUGAAAUUUUUACAAAACUCUGAAUUAAGUCCCUUAAAUAUAAUUACUCGAUCACAUGAUGGCGUGGCUGUUAUGUCAGGUCAUUUAGGAGGCGUACAAGCAAAAAUUAAGGAAAAAUACCCCACAGCGAUUUUUACUCAUUGUAUGGCACAUCAAUUGAACUUGGUUGUGGUUGACAUGUGCAAUUAUAUGACGAGUGCAAGGAGUUUAUUUAAUGUUUUAGAAUCAAUACAUAUCUAUUUUUAAUUUCCUUCGAAAAAUGUUAAGCUACAAGACAUACAAAUUUAAUUGGGGUUAAAAAAUAGAUCUAUGACUCAUUUAUCUGACACACGUUGGGUUUGCAGAUAUAAAAAUUGUGAUGUGGUUUUAAAUAAUUUUAAAGCAAUUCUACAAGUAGAUAUUAAAUGAAGAAAUUGAAGCCAAUUAUGAUAGAAAUGUCAGUUAAGCUAUUGGUAUUUAUUCAACCAUAACUAAAGGAUUGUUUGUCGUGCACUUGUUUAUUUUUCAUGAUGUAUUAAUUGUAAUUAAUAUACUAAGCAAUAAAUUACAACAAAAAACUGCAACUCUAGGAAAAGCAGCAGGAAUUAUUAAAACUGUGAUUGAGACUUUUGAAAAAAAUAUAAAAAUUAUAAUUUAUUUUUGGUAAUAUGGAGAAAAAUAAAAGAGUUUGCUGAAAAUCAAUAACAUUUCUUUAGAAAAACCUUUGAAAAAUUCUAAAAGAAUAAGAAAAGAACCACAUAGUUUGAAAGAAUUUUGUCUAAAUACAUCAACAUCUGCUGAUAGUAUAAAUCUUGAGGAUUCUGUUGAAAAUUAUUGGAAAAAUAAAAUAUAUUUUGUCAUACUUGAUACUAUAAUAAUCAACUUAAAGAAACGUUUUUCUGAUGAAAGUUUGUUAUUGGCUUCUGCUAUUGACAACUUUUUUCUGAUGGACUUUGAUGAAAGUCAACCGCUUAUUAAUCAUUUUGAAUUUACAAUAUCAGGGUUUAUUUAAUAUUGAAGUUGCAUCACUCAAGGCAAAAAUGAUGGUUGAAAAAAAUUGUUUAAAACAGAUAAACAAAGAUUUUGAUUUAAUACACUUAAAAAUAUAAUAGAAAAAAAUGU